rnacentral:lncRNA from 1 species
AUGAAAGAAUUACCCUGGAGCUUGACACAAAGAGCAUGUGCACAUCUCUGUUCUACUGAUCAUCAUCAUCAGGAGAGCACUGGAAGAGUUUACUCAUCUAAGGUAGAGGAGUCCUUGUCCUUCCUGCAGGUCUUGCUCAGUGAAGCAAACCAAGUUGUCCUAGUCCUCUCAACUAAACACAGUGGCUGGAACUGCAUGAGACCCCAAGGACAGAGUGUGUUUUGCUGGAGUCACUACAACCUUCCACUUGUCUUCGUCAUGGCUGCAAGGUGUGGAGACAUCCGUGAUACACAUGUGCUUGUGUGUCUGUACAAGUGUACAUGUUUGUGUCUUCAUGUCAUUGCAAGAAACUCUAGGAAGAGCAGAGGCACCCAGACACAAGUCAGCAGUAUUGGUCCAGCAAGGGAAGUUCUGAACAAAAUGACCAGGAGGAUAAGAGAAAAAACAGCAGGGAGUGAUCAUUAAC